ACGGUAACAUUUCUAGCUUGCUAGAAGAUGACGAGUGGCGGACGGGUGAGUAAUGCUUGGGAACUUGCCUUUGCGAGGGGGAUAACAGUUGGAAACGACUGCUAAUACCGCAUAAUGUCUUCGGACCAAACGGGGCUUCGGCUCCGGCGCAAAGAGAGGCCCAAGUGAGAUUAGCUAGUUGGUAAGGUAACGGCUUACCAAGGCGACGAUCUCUAGCUGUUCUGAGAGGAAGAUCAGCCACACUGGGACUGAGACACGGCCCAGACUCCUACGGGAGGCAGCAGUGGGGAAUAUUGCACAAUGGGGGAAACCCUGAUGCAGCCAUGCCGCGUGUGUGAAGAAGGCCUUCGGGUUGUAAAGCACUUUCAGUUGUGAGGAAAAGUUAGUAGUUAAUACCUGCUAGCCGUGACGUUAACAACAGAAGAAGCACCGGCUAACUCCGUGCCAGCAGCCGCGGUAAUACGGAGGGUGCGAGCGUUAAUCGGAAUUACUGGGCGUAAAGCGCACGCAGGCGGUUUGUUAAGCUAGAUGUGAAAGCCCCGGGCUCAACCUGGGAUGGUCAUUUAGAACUGGCAGACUAGAGUCUUGGAGAGGGGAGUGGAAUUCCAGGUGUAGCGGUGAAAUGCGUAGAUAUCUGGAGGAACAUCAGUGGCGAAGGCGACUCCCUGGCCAAAGACUGACGCUCAUGUGCGAAAGUGUGGGUAGCGAACAGGAUUAGAUACCCUGGUAGUCCACACCGUAACGCUGUCUACUAGCUGUGUGUGUCUUU
rnacentral:rRNA from 1 species